rnacentral:rRNA from 1 species
CCUACGGGUGGCAGCAGUGGGGAAUUUUCCGCAAUGGGCGCAAGCCUGACGGAGCAACGCCGCGUGGGUGAAGAAGUCUUUCGGGAUGUAAAGCCCUUUCAGCUGGGAAGAAGUCAGUGACGGUACCAGCAGAAGAAGCAUCGGCUAACUACGUGCCAGCAGCCGCGGUAAGACGUAGGAUGCAAGCGUUGUCCGGAUUUAUUGGGCGUAAAGCGUACGUAGGCGGCCAGGUAAGUCGGGUGGUUAAAGACCGCAGCUCAACUGCGGAUAUGCCCUCGAUACUGUUUGGCUGGAGGUUGUCAGAGGAAGUCGGAAUUCCCAGUGUAGCGGUGAAAUGCGUAGAUAUUGGGAGGAACACCGGUUGCGAAAGCGGACUUCUGGGGCAGACCUGACGCUGAGGUACGAAAGCCAGGGUAGCAAACGGGAUUAGAUACCCUUGUAGUC